rnacentral:lncRNA from 1 species
AUAGGCGCACCUGCCAGGUUCACCUGCAGCCACUUGGCUCAGUGGGACUGGCGGGCGUGAUGCGCCCGUGGGUGGAGAUGGGUGUUCAUCCCCCAUCCCUCGGAGCAUCUGGACCUGGCGUUUCAUUGCAUGUAAAAUGGGACAGGAACACGCACCUCGGUUCAUGUGCUUGAGGAGUGUUUAGUGAGCACCUGCUAUGCGCCAGGCCUUUGGGCAGUGGACACAGGGAUAUGGCCGGGAUGAUAGACAGGUUCAGCCCUGCCAACACAGGUCUGGUUUGGGGAUGGACCCAAAGCGAGUGAGGAGAUGGAACAAGCUUCCAGCUCACAUGGUGUCAGGAAGGAUGAGAAGGCUGCAAGGGACUGAGAGGACAGUCAGUCUUAGCACCCGAAGGCAUCCGGUCUUGGGAUGUCGAUCCUGGCGUCUGCAACCUUGAUGAACAGCUCAAGGUCUUUGUGUCCCGACACUCUGCCACCUUCUCCAGCAUUGUGAAAGGCCAGCGGAGCCUGCACCACCGUGGAGACAACCUGGAGACCCUGGUCCUCCUGAACCCAUCAGACAAGUCCCUGUAUGAUGAGCUCCGGAACCUUCUGUUGGACCCUGCCUCUCACAAGCUACUGGUGUUGGCUGGGCCCUGCCUGGAGGAGACGGGGGAGCUGCUGCUACAGACAGGGGGCUUCUCGCCUCACCACUUCCUCCAGGUCCUGAAGGACAGAGAGAUCCGGGACAUCCUGGCCACCACGCCCCCACCUGUGCAGCCGCCCAUACUCACCAUCACCUGCCCCACCUUCGGUGACUGGGCUCAGCUGGCACCCGCUGUGCCUGGCCUUCAGGGGGCGCUCCGGCUCCAGCUGCGGCUGAACCCCCCGGCGCAGCUGCCCAACUCUGAGG